CUGCCAUCUUGGAAAGGGGCCCGACGCUUGGCCGCAUCAAAGGGCUAGGUAGAGCUCUAAGGCCGUACGCUUUAAUCUCUGGGACCAGCACACGAGCUUGCCUUCCCAUCUCUGUAGAUGUGGCAGCCAUUGUGACACCACGAGGCUGUAUGAUAAGCACUGGCCACCACCACUGGGCUUCAGUGAAUAGCCACUUAAUUGGGCUUGCUAUUACAGUACUCACAGCAUUUGCCUGGCCUUGCCCACCUCACCUCUUCUGCAUCUCCUAGGGCACAAGCCUUCUCACCCAAGAUGCGAAAGAUGAAGUGCAGCUGUUCCUCCACUGUGGAGCCUGGGAAGAGGGGCCGACCUGUGGCCAUCUCGUAGAAGA